AUGCCGGGGCCGGGGCGCCGCCUGCCCCCAGAUGGCAGCGGGAGGCCGCCGCGCGUCGGCGGGAAGCAGCCACUCCCCAAGACUAUCGUGAUCAAGCCGGUACUCCGCCUGCCCGGCAGCGGAGGGAAGCCGCCCCGCGGCGGUGAGCCUCUCGAUCGAGCCGCUGCUCCCGAGCCAGAGCCUGCACCCUUGGCUCCGUCCUUCCUCGCCGCUGGGGCGCCCCCUGCUCCCGCCCUCAAGACCUCGGAUCCAUCCUCCGCUGCCGCUGGGGCGGCCCGAGCUGCCGCGCGCCCUGCUCCCACCGUCGAGCCCUCCGCCCCGUCUUCCGUUGCUGGCGGGGAGACCCUCGCUCCCGUCGUCAAGCCCUCGGUCCUCUUCUCCGUUGCUGCUGGGGAGACCUUCCCUCCCGUCGUCAAGCCCUCAGCCCCCUCCUCCGUUGCCGCUGGGGAGCCACCAAGACUCGGAGAUGCGGGCGGAGAAGGCGCGCCUAGGAUGAUCGAGCGAGCGCCAGAGGAGGAGAGCGCAGGACGCGGGGGCACGACGGGGAGGUCGCCCGCCCGGGAAGAAGCCAGGGCCAGCCGAGGCGACAAGCCCUUCUUUGGUUUGCUCUUCAUCUUCGUCGACCACUUCGUCGAGGAUGUGGGACUUGACGAUUAUACUCAAAUAAUUGAAAGCUUGGGUGGCAAGGUUGGGACAGGAAUCAACUACAACGAAGCCACACACAUCGCUGUGAAAGGUCAGGUACCACCAGGGGCCAGAAUAUUCUGGGAAGCAGAUGGGAAGACAGUCACUACCACUGCUUGGAUUGAGAAUUGCUUCAACAUGAGGAAGUUAUUAACGAAUCCAUGUAAAGAUAGCAGCGAAAGCCUGCUCCCUUCUCCUGAUAUGACACCCCUGGCAACGAUUAAAUCAAGGAACUGCUUAUCUGAUAGCAAAAUAUCAAGCAAGAACUGCUCGCCUAGUAACAAAAGAACCAGCAAGAAAGAUGAAGAGCUCAGGAUAUCGCAAUCAAGAAGAAAGAUGCUGAAAUUUCCAACUCCCGACCCACCAAGAGUCCCCAGUCUCCCAACUGGUCUGUAUCAUUCUAUCUUGGUCUGUGAGUCUGAUAGUGGGUGGUCUGAAUCGCUGUAUGAUCAUGCCCUUCGAUUUAAGCUACACCACAACACAUUACUUCCAGGCUUCACCACUGAGUCCAAAUUGUCUAAGAUAUCUACCAAGGUCGCUGUAGGUGGCUCGUAUAGUAAAUUGGCUGGGUUGCAUGGCAAAGGGAAGUCGCUUGGGGGUAAUUUCAGCUCAAGAAACUUCAUCAUAUACAAAGACGAUUCCAUUAAGCUCCUUUUCAGCGAGGACCAGCUUGUUGACUAUUCUGAUGCCGAAGGUGACAAGGACUAUGCUAGUUUUGUGAAAAUGAUAACGGACGAAGUUUUCCAUAAGCAGCCCUUGCCUGUAGAUAUGAUUGAAUGGCUUCGAGUCAUCUCACAGGGCGUAGCAGUCUGCAGUCCCAACAUCUUAGCACAUCACAUAUAUCUGAUGGAGCCUUUUCAAGCAUAUGGCACAUUCGUAGUGAUGUACCAGUUGUUCAGCAGCAUUGAAAGUACGAAGGGGUGGAGUGCUUUGUCAGCAUCUUUGUCUCACUUUGAUGGCUGGUCAUUACCAAGAUGCAAAAUGCUCCUGAAGACAUAUUACUAUCUUGAUAAGAAUGGGAACCGUGUCUUCUAUGAGUACGAUGUAAGAGGACUCCUCAGGCUCAUCUGGAACAGCUCGAAGCAUCAGUCGAGGCGUGAUCUCCAGUUUUUUGUUCAGAUGGUCAUGAAAGAUUAUCCAAGGUUACUGUGUGAUCUGCAGAGGGCAUUGUAUGAUGGAGGUUACCUAAGUCAUCUGCAGCUGAACUGCCGCUAG
rnacentral:rRNA from 1 species